ACUUUUAAUGGACAGGCAGCAGUCCGA
rnacentral:tRNA from 1 species